rnacentral:misc_RNA from 1 species
AAGUCGUAACAAGGUAACCGUAGGUGAACCUGCGGUUGGAUCAUUAUUGAAUCUUCAACAGUUGCUGGUCUAAAUCUUUCGGGAUGAGGGCCUAGCGACACUACCCCAAACACCUUGUGAAUAUGUAUUGUACUGUCUUUGGUCAGUCUAGUUCUAGCUAGUCUAGGCUAGUUGGCCUUGGAUGAUGUUAAACCUUUUUGAUGUUAUCACUUUGAUUUACUGAAUCAAAACAACUUUUGACAACGGAUCUCUUGGUUCUC